rnacentral:rRNA from 1 species
AUUGAACGCUGGCGGCAGGCCUAACACAUGCAAGUCGAACGAGUGGCGGACGGGUGAGUAAUGUCUGGGAAACUGCCUGGUGGAGGGGGAUAACUACUGGAAACGGUAGCUAAUACCGCAUACCAUCAGAUGUGCCCAGAUGGGAUUAGCUUGUGGGUGGGGUAACGGCUCACCAAGGCGACGAUCCCUAGCUGGUCUGAGAGGAUGACCGGCAAACCGGGAACUGGGAAACGGUCAAACCUCCUACGGGGGGCAGCAGUGGGGAAUAUUGGACAAGGGGCGAAAGCCUGAUGCAGCCAUGCCGCGUGUAUGAAGAAGGCCUUCGGGUUGUAAAGUACUUUCAGCGGGGAGACGUUACCCGCAGAAGAAGCACCGGCUAACUCCGUGCCAGCAGCCGCGGUAAUAC